rnacentral:rRNA from 1 species
UACUCGAGUGGCGAACGGGCGAGUAACACGUGGGUGAUCUGCCCUGCACUUCGGGAUAAGCUUGGGAAACUGGGUCUAAUACCGGAUAGGAGCCAUCUUUAGUGUGGUGGUUGGAAAGUUUUUUCGGUGUAGGAUGAGCUCGCGGCCUAUCAGCUUGUUGGUGGGGUAAUGGCCUACCAAGGCGGCGACGGGUAGCCGGCCUGAGAGGGUGUACGGCCACAUUGGGACUGAGAUACGGCCCAGACUCCUACGGGAGGCAGCAGUGGGGAAUAUUGCACAAUGGGCGCAAGCCUGAUGCAGCGACGCCGCGUGGGGGAUGAAGGCCUUCGGGUUGUAAACUCCUUUCGCUAGGGACGAAGCUUUGUGUGACGGUACCUAGAUAAGAAGCACCGGCUAACUACGUGCCAGCAGCCGCGGUAAUACGUAGGGUGCGAGCGUUGUCCGGAAUUACUGGGCGUAAAGAGCUCGUAGGUGGUUUGUCGCGUCGUCUGUGAAAUUCUGGGGCUUAACUCCGGGCGUGCAGGCGAUACGGGCAUAACUUGAGUGCUGUAGGGGUAACUGGAAUUCCUGGUGUAGCGGUGAAAUGCGCAGAUAUCAGGAGGAACACCGAUGGCGAAGGCAGGUUACUGGGCAGUUACUGACGCUGAGGAGCGAAAGCA